rnacentral:rRNA from 1 species
UGGGGAAUAUUGCACAAUGGGCGCAAGCCUGAUGCAGCCAUGCCGCGUGUGUGAAGAAGGCCUUCGGGUUGUAAAGCACUUUCAGCGGGGAGGAAGGGAGUAAAGUUAAUACCUUUGCUCAUUGACGUUACCCGCAGAAGAAGCACCGGCUAACUCCGUGCCAGCAGCUGCGGUAAUACGGAGGGUGCAAGCGUUAAUCGGAAUUACUGGGCGUAAAGCGCACGCAGGCGGUUUGUUAAGUCAGAUGUGAAAUCCCCGGGCUCAACCUGGGAACUGCAUCUGAUACUGGCAAGCUUGAGUCUCGUAGAGGGGGGUAGAAUUCCAGGUGUAGCGGUGAAAUGCGUAGAGAUCUGGAGGAAUACCGGUGGCGAAGGCGGCCCCCUGGACGAAGACUGACGCUCAGGUGCGAAAGCGUGGGGAGCAAACAGG